UUUUGACUUUUUUUAGUUGUUGUAUUUUUAUUUUUUACACAACACUCAUGUCGGGAAAAGGAUAAGGCGAAACUAACCUACGCCUGUUCUGAUAAAAACCUUAGGGCACUUAGCCUAGGGGGAUGCCUUGCUUGACUACACCCUCCUUCCUUGGUCCUGCCCUGCCCCGCACCUUCCACCAAUCCAUUUGUUUCUAUGGACAGAAAAGAGCAGAGUCUCUGGGCUCUCCGAUCAAGUCCAUUGUUAGCACUCACCGGCAACUGAAAAAGUAACGUUAGCCUACUCCAGCGCUUCAAAAGUUGUAGCUGUUUCUCGCAAAGAUUUACAACGUCCAGGAACCGAAAUUACACACAGAUUAUCUAUGGCACGUGGUGGUACUGAAUGCGAUAGCCCUGUGGUGCAUGGGGAGAGGGAAUGCCAUACCAUGCAGAAACUCAAAUUUGCACAGAAAACGAGUACAUUGCCUAUAAAGAGCCAUGCGUUGCCGACCUGCACCGAUGAUGAUGAUGGCCCUAUAGUUUGGGGGUUUUCUGAAGAACGACCCAUAAAUAAAAUAGGGAAAUCAAUAAAGCAGAGUCAGAAAUGGUAUAACAAUGCAGAGCUAAAGCAGAGCCUUAUGGAGACUGGGGUAGAGAAUGGUGUAGAGGAAAAGGCAAGCAUUGCAAAUGGGGAAAGUAGUGGAGGGAAUGUUGAAGAGUUGAAGGGGGAUAUAGCUGAAAAUGAACUGGAGGAAAAGAGUGAUGCUUCAGUUGUCCAAGUAGAGUAUGUGGAUGACAAAGCCUGUGUGGAGUACAGAGAGGGAGAUGGUCUUGCCACAGGGGGAGUAGAGGAAGUGAUUGAGAUAGCUGCUGAGGUGGAGUAUGAAGAUGGAAUGAGAGCUGAAAUGAAAGGGGGAAAGGGGACAGACCGUUAUGAGUCAGGGGAGGCGGUCGUCGCUGUGAUGAGUGAGAUUGAAGAGAAAGAUGCAGAGGGAAAACGCAUCCUAGAGAAAGAAGACAAGGUGGCUCCCAAGAGGAAGAAUAUAAGGAAACGCAGGCGAUCAGCCAAACUUCAACGUGACAAAGAGGCAAAUUCCAGUGCUUCCUUUGUAGAGACCGUUCUCUCAUGGCUGUUGACAGUUUUCCUAUGGUGGCAGGCCUUCUCAUCAAGGAAGUUCCCCUUGUCCAUAUGGAUUGUAUUUUUGAUAUUCAUGUCCAGGAUGCCAUGUGGCGUUGAGGGUCUCUUUAUUGAUACAAGCAACGAUCACUGGAACGUGUCAUGCAUUGCCUGUAAGAGUCCUGGAUGUGCUGUGAAUAAGAUAUGGUGUGGGGAGGAUGAGCUGUUGAAGGGUUUACAGAUUCCACCCUGCACAAGCAUUCCUCAAAAGCCGAAGACUGCUUGCCACCAUGAUGGUCGGGCAUAUGUGCUUAUGGAUAAGGAGGUCGAGUGUAAUAUGGAAUAUUUGGCUAACUAUGUCUCCUCUGAGAAGACAGAGUGUCCACCAUUGUUGGAGGCUAUUCAAGGUAUAUACAGCAACAACACUUUGUCACCCCCACCUCUCAAUGGUUCAUCAUCUGUAGGCGUCAUUGUCACUUCAGUUCUUUUGCCUGACCCUGCAGGGAUUAUCCUGUUACGAGGUGACAAGGCUCUGUUGGUGUCAUUGUCAUUGUCGUCUAUUUGAUCAGACACAAGCAUCAGGGUGCCAGUAGAAACCAAGAUGAAGAGACUGAGAUGAGCGCUCUGAACAACGGUACCAAUCAGAAUGGAGGUCCUGCCAAUAGAGACAAUAAUGAAGAGGUGGCUGUGAACAUGCUUGAGGGCCCCUGAGCCAUCGCCAGCAAUGAGGGCCCGUGGAGCUGUCUCUGGCAGCAUGGUUAGCAUAGAGACUAUGCUACUGAUUGUCCUGGCUCGUCUAUGAAGUGUUUUUUUGGUUUUUGUUAAUGUCAAAAAUGUGGCACAUGUUACAUUUUUAUUUCAAACACGCACUAUCUGUUAUGUAACAUGUUGAAAACACAAAUUUCAGUGUGGAACAUAGAUGGCAUAAGACCCUGAUUUUAUUGAUCAGUGAAAAGGGAAUGCAAAUUAUUAAGGGAACUGCUUUGGGGCUUCACAUUUUUUGCUUUUUUCCAUCCUAUGGCUUACUUGUUCAAAUGAAAGAAUGAUGAACAAUUGGGCUGUCAUUCAAUCAACCCUUAUGUUAAUUGCAGCAAUUAUAUAUGAAUUAUUCUA